GCGCUCUGCUUUGCUCCUCUUCCAUUUUGGCUAGCAGCAGCUUGGUUGUGCUUGAAUAUUUCUUCUCUUUCUCCCACGUCAAAGUUAUCUGUCUCCUAGGUUGGAGCUCCCUCUUCUUCAUCUAGCUACCUCACGCAGUUCUCACAAUAACAGGAAUAAACACAGCUAUUUGGUGCCGCCUCACACAUCCGUGUAUAUAUCUUAAGAACAGUCCUUGGGUGUUGUGUUUAGUGUGGCAAAAUUCCUUGGGGCUGUUCCAGCUCAGGGCUAAAUCUCCAGCAGGUACGCAUUUCCUUUCUACGACUUUCCGCAAUCCUAUCUGUCUCGAGCAAUCUAAUUUCUCCAUGCUCUAGUUUGAAUGGGAGACGAAAGUGUGCUGGAGCGUAUACUUAACAGAGAUGAGGAACCAAGGGAUCUGCCAUUAGCACUGUUACAGCGCAUCACGAAGGAUUUCUCCAGAGAGAACAAAAUUGGUGAAGGUGGAUUUGAAGAGGUCUACAAGGGUGAACUCCGGAACGGAAUUACUGUUGCUGUGAAGAGGAUUGAAGUGAAUCAAUUCACAAUUGAUGACAUGUCAUUUCGCCCAAUAGAAGAGGCGGGAGAAAUUAACCUUGUCAAUGUUAGAGAAGGAUUGCUCUGUUUUGAGUACAUCCGCAAUGGAAGUCUUGAUAAGUAUAUUACUGAUGAAUUAAGGGGACUUGAAUGGGAACCACGUUAUGCAAUAAUCUCUGGACUUUGCAAGGGUAUGUUUUAUCUUCACGAGGAAAAAAAGAUUGUUCAUAUGGAUCUUAAACCGCCAAAUAUAUUACUUGAUGAUGAUAAUGUUCCAAAAAUUACUGAUUUUGGGUUGUUAAGAUCAAAUGAAAAGUCGCAUACUAUGGGUCAACGUUUUGGAACACCGUAAGCUAUGACGAACCAUUAUUUCUAGUUUUCCGUCAUUACAGCCUACAUUUAUUUUAUGUCAUAAUGCAUCACAGUAUUGUAUUUUGUUUCAGAGGAUAUGUCGCUCCAGAAUACAGGGAAAAUGGGAAAAUUUCAUUCAAGUGUGACAUAUAUAGUUUGGGUGUCAUCAUUACAGAAUUGGUAACGGGGCGUAGGAGCAUCCCUCACAAAAAUACUGUACUUCGAAGGUGGAGGCGUAGGUGGAAUAAGCCACCGACGUUACUACAAUACCAGCAAGUAAACAGAUGUAUUGAAAUAGCGGUAUGCUGCAGGCACCAAGAACCGCAAGCUAGACCUUCUAUAGGUGAUAUAAUCGGCAUUCUUUGUGAAUCUGGAAGUACGGAUGGGCACACUGGCCAGGAAAGCUCCUAUCUGGAGAUGACAUGCUUUGUAUUGAGCCGCUCGAGCUUAAGAUUAACCAAGAGAUGUCAUGGUUAGUUAAGCUAACGAACAUGACAAAGGCCUGUUUUGCCUUCAACAUUAGAAGACCCAGCGAGCAGUACACCAUAUGGCCAGACAAAGGCAUUGUGACACCAGGAUGUAACGAGUGUCUUGUUCAGAUAACAUUGCAGCCACAACAGAGGGCACCACAAGUUACACAGAACGCUGACAAGUUCAUCUUGCAGAGCACAAAAGUGCCCAAGAGUCUUAGAGAUGAGGAUAUCAUUUAAAAUAUAUUCCAUGAAGAGGUUGGUAAAGUGGUUGAUGAGGUGGAUUUGAUGGUUGUGUAUGAGCCUACGAAGCACCAAGAAAACUGUAAGAGCAGAAAAGACACCAACAUGCCAGCUGAGGAAUUUCCCGUGAUGAAGAAGAAAAAGAUUGUUGGGUCUGUUUUUGGAAAGAGCAAACUUGUUAGUAGCAAAAUUGCAGAGGCAACUUCCAUGGGUGCCAAUUCAAGCGAGCAAGGACAAUGUAUGGAGCAAACAGAGCUGUUUAUUUUACACCCACUACAAAGCUUUUCACACCAUUAUUCUACCAACAUGAGGUACCUCGAGAAAGAAAACGACAGAGCCGUGGAUCUACCAAUGGGGGCUAUGGGCAGCGUACUCGACAAGUUGGGCAAGCUCCUUGAGGUGGACUACAAUCUUGUGUAGAAACUAUAAGAUGGCUAAUAAUUCUGUUGUUGUAUUGAUCUUCUGUUGUUGUAUUGAUCUGACCCAUGUGUGGGAUAUAUAUAGAGUACAAUAUGUGAGAGAGACUUGAA